UACGAAGGGGGGCUAGCGUUGUUCGGAAUUACUGGGCGUAAAGCGCGCGCAGGCGGCUCUUCAAGUCAGGGGGUGAAAGCCCAGAGCUCAACUCUGGAACUGCCUUUGAGACUGAAGAGCUUGAGUACGGGAGAGGUGAGUGGAAUUCCCAGUGUAGAGGUGAAAUUCGUAGAUAUUGGGAAGAACACCGGUGGCGAAGGCGGCGACCUGGUCCGAUACUGACGCUGAGGCGCGAAAGCGUGGGGAGCAAACAGG
rnacentral:rRNA from 1 species